CACCUUCGCUUCUCCAAGGUCGCGCACCUUGAAGACCUUCGCAAUUGCAGCUUUAAUUGCCCGGACCAUUUCCGGGUCUUCCGACGCAACAAUGGUAUCAUCUACGUGCACCAAAGCAAUAACAACCCCACGCUCGUCAGUCUUAACAAACAUCGCCGGAUCAGACUUCGAAGGGUAAAGACCCAGCUUGGCAAACUCUGCUGAUAGUUUUUUCAUACCAGCAACGGGGUGCCUGCUUCAAACCGUAAAUAGAUUUCUGCAGCUUGCACGCAAGCGACCGGUCACUGGACGCAUACCCAGGUGGUUGCUCCAUCCACAACUCCUCCUUCAGCUCACCAUUCAGAAACGCAGUAGACACAUCUAGCUGGUGUACCGUCAUGUCCCGCGCUGCGGCAACUGCUAAUAAAGCACGCAAUGACGAACCACGAGAGGUAGGGGCAAACAACUCCCCAUAAUCAAUCCCCUCGCGUUGCUCGAAACCCUUGGCAACUAAACACGCCUUAAAACGCUCCACGCUGCCGUCAUCGCUGUACUUAACCUUAUAAACCCACCGACACGGCAACAAACGAGUACCAGGUGGUGGCUUCUUCAGCUCCCAAGUACUAUUAGCCAUCUGGGCGGCGAUCUCCUCGUCCAUCGCACGCCGCCAGUCGUCUGCAUGUGGACUCGCAAUGGCUUCCGCAAAAGAAUUCGGUUCGGGAAUAUCAGUAGAGAAAGCAGCGUUAACGCGACCAGUAACAGUGCGACCAGGUUCAUUUCGCCACCAUUCGCCAGGGCGUUUAUGCUCUCUAACUGGGUACCUAGUUCCCGCCAUUUCCACAUCAGGCUGAUUGAUUCCUUGCCCGUUCGCACUGCUGGAAGGUCCAGCCCCAGCCGGCGCCCCCUCGCCACCCAAAUGCGGCGAUCCCUCGCCGACGGUGCUACCUGGUGUCCCUUCGCCAGCCCUAGGCAGCGAUCCCUCACCAGAUAAACUAGUGCGAAACUCCUCCUCCUCGUCGGCAUCGGACUCAUAAUCGGAGUCCCCGGCAUUACACCGCCGGCCGACAUUAGAUUCAUCGAAACGAACGUUAGAAACUACGGCAAUAAUGCCGUCCUCGUAUAGUACACGAUACUGUCCACCGUUCCCGUAUCCGACAAGUAUUCCACGCCUGCUCACCGGGUCGAACUUGUCGCGCUUGACGUCGGGUACGUGGACGNNNNNNNNNNNNNNNNNNNNNNNNNNNNNNNNNNNNNNNNNNNNNNNNNNAAGAAAGCUUCGUACGGAGUGACGGUUGACCCAGCAGUUGGCGACACAUUCCUAAGAUAGUUGGCUGUCGCUAACGCCUCCGCCCAUAAUGAUUUAGGCAGUCCAGACUCAACUAGCAUAGCCCUAGUCUUGUCCAAAAGAGUGCGAUUUAAACGUUCUGCAGCUCCGUUCUGCUCAGGGGUGUAGCCUACCGUAGUUCCGUGUACAAUUCCCCUGGAAGCGAAAUAGGCCUUCGUGCGAGUAUUAACGAACUCCCCGCCACGAUCUGUACGCACCUCCUUAACCUGCCUGCCAGUAGCGCGCUCCAGUUCCGCUAUCAUUACCACCAUCUUCUGGUAGACCUCCUCCUUGGUCGCUGUAAACGCAACAGCUGAAAGACCAGUAUGGUCGUCAAGCAGGGUUGUCACGUAACGCGAACCACUAGGCGAAGGUUCAGGCAUAGGCCCACACACAUCCAUGUGGAUUAAUGCUAGUGGCUGUGUUGCCUUAUGCCCUGUUAGCGGAAAAGGGCCACGUGUAUGUUUAGCAAGGACGCAAGUCUCACACACACACGCGCUGGCUGAUUGUAUGCUGUGUCGGUCAACAUCAAAACCAGCUACCAUAUUAUGACGCAGCAACGUCUCAAGGUUGCUGUAUCCCAAGUGGCCAUACCGUCGGUGCCAAAGUGCUGCACGUUCAGCUCCGAUACCCACGGCAGCACACACUGCAUCACCACCAGAAGGUAUCCUGUUGUCUUCACGCUGCGUCCUCUUCAGAGCUCCCGUACCUCCACUGCUGUAGCAGACGGGAUACAAGUCCCCAUCCCGCUUUCCAGUCAGCACCAACUGGUUCUGUACGUAUACUUUCGCCUGUCCGCCGCCGAAGACCACACUGCCUCCACGAUCAUCAAUGAUGCGGACCGAUAUGAUUUUGGCGGUGGCCUCCUCGUCGACAUAGACCUUCUUGAAAGUGAUGGCCUGUUUAUCGUUGACGUUAGACCGAAUCGUAAGCGUGCCAACUUCAGUCGGUCGAAGAGAUUGUCCCUUGAUGCCCAUGAUGUUGAAGCGCUCCCAUGGCUCCAACAGCCGCACGUUGAAAAGUUCUGAGCGGUCAUACGUUAUGUGGUGAGUGGCGGCUGAGUCCAGAAAUCAUUCCGUCGGACGCUCGCUGUUAUAUGCUACGAACGCUACCUGCCGCGGAACUCCUGGCCCCCUAGCUGAUCCACCGGAUCCUGGCUUGCUGCCGCUAGCUCCGCUGCCACUACCUCCGUUACCACUGUUGUUGUACCCACCCUUAUAGCCAGAAUUUGACGACUGCUUCAGCGCUUUAAGCUGCCUGCAGUCCUUUACCACGUGCCCAGGUUUGUUACAGUAGUAGCAGAUGAGCUGUUUCCGACUGUGUCCCGAGCUGUUGUUAGCCGGCCCCCGGCUACCAUAACCAGAAGUAGAAGCGCCGAAAGUCGAACCGCCGACAGACGCGAAGGCUGCCGACUCGGUAGGCUUGCCCGACCCACCGUUAGCCGUCUCGAUAGAGAGAAGCUUUGCUGUGACGCUCGCCAUGUCCAAAUCGCCGUCGCGCAUUAGUAAUGUAGUCGUCACCACGCUGUACCGACUGGGUAGACCAACUAGGACGGUUUAUGCCAGCUCGGAGUCGUUGAUUACGUGGCCGACUCCCAAUAAAUCCGUUUGCAGCUGUCUUGCACGCGCAAAGUACAUCGGGAGAGGUUCGCCGUCGACCAUCUUAAAACGGCUGAAUUCUUGACGUAGAGACACCUUGCGGGCGUUGUUGUUGGCAGCAAACAUAGAUCCCAAGGCGUCCCAGGCCUUCUUCGCGUUGGCAGCACCGGUAACCAUCGGCAAAUGAUGAUCUUUGACGUUCUUGAUGAGCAGAUUGAUGACCUUCCGUGAUUGUCGAAUCUGCUCCUCGUUGCACGGCUCGGCGAGCAGGGAUUGCUCAAGCCCAAGCUCCAUGUCUGUCGGCGGUUUGACGUUCGGCGCUUCUACUUCUGGUUAUGGUAGCCGGGGGCCGGCUAACAACAGCUCGGGACACAGUCGGAAGCAACUCAUCUGCUACUACUGUAAUAAACCUGGGCACGUGGUUAAGGACUGCAGGCAGCUUAAAGCGCUGAAGCAGUCGUCAAAUUCUGGCUAUAAGGGUGGAUACAACAACAGUGGCAACGGAGGUAGUGGCAGCGGAGCUAGCGUCAGCAAGCCAGGAUCCGGUGGAUCAGCUAGGGGGCCAGGAGUUCCGCGGCAGGUAGCGUUCGUAGCAUACAACAGCGAGCGUCCGACGGAAUGGUUUCUGGACUCAGCCGCCACUCACCACAUAACGUAUGUGUUGAGGAAACGGUCCUCUCUCAACUCAUGUGGUUGUCGACCAUGGGAUUUGACCCCGGGUCUGCGCCUGACUACUGGGGAAGACUUACCCCAGAACCUUAUGGGGCUACCGAUGCAUAGUCGGUAGCUAAGUGAUAGACAUUAGGGCACCGUCUGGACGGCGCAGUGAGAUCACGGAAUGUACGUGCAGUUAGAUCGCGGAAUGUACGAGUUUUCCGCUAGCGCCGGUAUUUAGGGCGGUGACUGCGCCUAUUAGUCUAUCUCACAACGAUCGGUAUUCCUACCAGGAAUCUCCUCAAGUCCUGCCGAACGCUAACAAUACUCUUUACAUAACUUGUAACAGUUUAUCGUGCUAAAUAUCUUCGCCACCGGCAAUCCUUCCGGAAUAACAAUCAGUGUUAGCCGUCACCGUCGCCAAUUCUUCAAUAGUAUGACCGCUCAGAACUUUUCAAUGUGCGGUUGUUGGAGCCAUGGGAGCGCUUCAACAUCAUGGGCAUCAAGGGACAGUCUCUUCGACCGACUGAAGUUGGCACGCUAACGAUUCGGUCUAACAUCAACGAUAAACAGGCCAUCACUUUCAAGAAGGUCUACGUCGACGAGGAGGCCACCGCCAAAAUCAUAUCGGUCCGCAUCAUUGAUGAUCGUGGAGGCAGUGUGGUCUUCGGCGGCGGACAGGCGAAAGUAUACGUACAGAACCAGUUGGUGCUGACUGGAAAGCGGGAUGGGGACUUGUAUCCCGUCUGCUACAGCAGUGGAGGUACGGGAGCUCUGAAGUGGACGCAGCGUGAAGACAACAGGAUACCUUCUGGUGGUGAUGCAGUGUGUGCUGCCGUGGGUAUCGGAGCUGAACGUGCAGCACUUUGGCACCGAAGGUAUGGCCACUUAGGAUACAGCAACCUUGAGGCGUUGCUGCGUCAUGAUAUGGUAACUGGGUUCGAUGUUGACCGACACAGCAUACAAUCAGCCAGCGUGUGUGUGUGUGAGACUUGCGUCCUUGCAAAGCAUACACGUGGUCCUUUUCCGUUAACUGGGCAUAAGGCAGCGCAGCCUCUCGCGCUCAUUCACAUGGAUGUGUGUGGACCUAUGCCUGAACCUUAGUGGUUCGCGUUACGUGACAACUCUGCUUGACGACCAUACUGGUCUUUCAGCUGUUGCGUUUACAGCGACCAAGGAGGAGGUCUACCAGAAGAUGGUGGUAAUGAUAGCGGGACUGGAGCACGCUACUGGCAGGCAGGUUAAGGAGGUGUUGAGGAAACGGUCCUCUCCCAACUCGUGUGGUUGUCGACCAGGGGAUUUGACCCCGGGUCUGCGCCUGACUAUUGGGGAAGACUUACCCCAGAACCUUAUGGGGCUACCAAUGCAUAUCCGGUAGGUAAGUGAUAGACAUUAGGGCACCGUCUGGACGGCGCAGUGAGAUCGCGGAAUGUACGUGCAGUUAGAUCGCGGAAUGUACGAGUUUUCCGCUAGCGCCGGUAUUUAGGGCGGUGACUGCGCCUAUUAGUUUAUCUCACAACGAUCGGUAUUCCUACCAGGAAUCUCCUCAAGUCCUGCCGAACGCUAACAAUACUCUUUACAUUACUUGUAACAAUUUAUCGUGCUAAAUAUCUUCGCCACCGGCAAUCCUUCCGGAAUAACAAUUAGCGUUAGCUGUCACCGUCGCCAAUUCUUCAAUAGGUUAUGAGCCCCGAUUAGCGCCGACAGUUAUCGCCCAAUUGUUAUUUCUAUCCCUCAUCAACAAUGGUUAAGGACAAGCUUGAUGAGUCGCUGGAUCUCAACAACUACUCUACCUGGCAAAUUGGGUUCAGCGCGUUGUGCAUGGAGCUUGGGCUUGAGCAAUCCCUGCUCGCCGAGCCGUGCAUCGAGGAGCAAAUUCGACAGUCACGGAAGGUCAUCAAUCUGCUCAUCAAGAACGUCAAGGAUCAUCAUUUGCCGAUGGUUACCGGUGCUGCCAACGCGAAGAAGGCCUGGGACGCCUUGGGAUCUAUGUUUGCUGCCAACAACAACGCCCGCAAGGUGUCUCUACGUCAAGAAUUCAGCCGUUUUAAGAUGGUCGACGGCGAACCUCUUCCGAUGUACUUUGCGCGUGCAAGGCAGCUGCAAACAGAUUUAUUGGGAGUCGGCCACGUAGUUAACGACUCCGAGCUGGCGUACACCGUGCUAGUUGGUCUACCCAGUCGGUACAGCAUGGUGACGACUACAUUACUUAUGCGCGACGGCGAUUUGGACAUGGCGAACGUCACAGCAAAGCUUCUCUCUAUCGAGACGGCUAACGGUGGGUCGGGCAAGCCUACCGAGUCGGCAGCCUUCGCGUCUGUCGGCGGUUCGACGUUCGGCGCUUCUACUUCUGGUUAUGGUAGCCGGGGGCCGGCUAACAACAGCUCGGGACAUAGUCGGAAGCAAGUCAUCUGCUACUACUGUAAUAAACCUGGGCACGUGGUUAAGGACUGCAGGCAGCUUAAGGCGCUGAAGCAGUCGUCAAAUUCUGGCUACAAGGGUGGCUACAGCAACAGUGGUAACGGAGGUAGUGGCAGCGGAGCUAGCGGCAGCAAGCCAGGAUCCGGUNNNNNNNNNNNNNNNNNNNNNNNNNNNNNNNNNNNNNNNNNNNNNNNNNNNNNNNNNNNNNNNNNNNNNNNNNNNNNNNNNNNNNNNNNNNNNNNNNNNNNNNNNNNNNNNNNNNAUAAACAGGCCAUCACUUUCAAGAAGGUCUACGUCGACGAGGAGGCCACCGCCAAAAUCAUAUCGGUCCGCAUCAUUGAUGAUCGUGGAGGCAGUGUGGUCUUCGGCGGCGGACAGGCGAAAGUAUACGUACAGAACCAGUUGGUGCUGACUGGAAAGCGGGAUGGGGACUUGUAUCCCGUCUGCUACAGCAGUGGAGGUACGGGAGCUCUGAAGUGGACGCAGCGUGAAGACAACAGGAUACCUUCUGGUGGUGAUGCAGUGUGUGCUGCCGUGGGUAUCGGAGCUGAACGUGCAGCACUUUGGCACCGAAGGUAUGGCCACUUAGGAUACAGCAACCUUGAGGCGUUGCUGCGUCAUGAUAUGGUAACUGGGUUCGAUGUUGACCGACACAGCAUACAAUCAGCCAGCGUGUGUGUGUGUGAGACUUGCGUCCUUGCAAAGCAUACACGUGGUCCUUUUCCGUUAACUGGGCAUAAGGCAGCGCAGCCUCUCGCGCUCAUUCACAUGGAUGUGUGUGGACCUAUGCCUGAACCUUAGUGGUUCGCGUUACGUGACAACUCUGCUUGACGACCAUACUGGUCUUUCAGCUGUUGCGUUUACAGCGACCAAGGAGGAGGUCUACCAGAAGAUGGUGGUAAUGAUAGCGGGACUGGAGCACGCUACUGGCAGGCAGGUUAAGGAGGUGUUGAGGAAACGGUCCUCUCCCAACUCGUGUGGUUGUCGACCAGGGGAUUUGACCCCGGGUCUGCGCCUGACUAUUGGGGAAGACUUACCCCAGAACCUUAUGGGGCUACCAAUGCAUAUCCGGUAGGUAAGUGAUAGACAUUAGGGCACCGUCUGGACGGCGCAGUGAGAUCGCGGAAUGUACGUGCAGUUAGAUCGCGGAAUGUACGAGUUUUCCGCUAGCGCCGGUAUUUAGGGCGGUGACUGCGCCUAUUAGUUUAUCUCACAACGAUCGGUAUUCCUACCAGGAAUCUCCUCAAGUCCUGCCGAACGCUAACAAUACUCUUNNNNNNNNNNNNNNNNNNNNNNNNNNNNNNNNNNNNNNNNNNNNNNNNNNNNNNNNNNNNNNCAGGAGUUCCGCGGCAGGUAGCGUUCGUGGCAUACAACAGCGAGCGUCCGACGGAAUGGUUUCUGGACUCAGCAGCCACUCACCACAUAACUUAUGACCGCUCAGAACUUUCCAACGUGCGGUUAUUGGAGCCAUGGGAGCGCUUCAACAUCAUGGGCAUCAAGGGACAGUCUCUUCGGCCGACUGAAGUUGGCACGCUUAUGAUUCGGUCUAACGUCAACGAUAAACAGGCCAUCACUUUCAAGAAGGUCUACGUCGACGAGGAGGCCACCGCCAAAAUCAUAUCGGUCCGCAUCAUUGAUGAUCGUGGAGGCAGUGUGGUCUUCGGCGGCGGACAGGCGAAAGUAUACGUACAGAACCAGUUGGUGCUGACUGGAAAGCGAGAUGGGGACUUGUAUCCCGUCUGCUACAGCAGUGGAGGUACGGGAGCUCUGAAGAGGACGCAGCGUGAAGACAACAGGAUACCUUCUGGUGGUGAUGCAGUGUGUGCUGCCGUGGGUAUCGGAGCUGAACGUGCAGCACUUUGGCACCGAAGGUAUGGCCACUUGGGAUACAGCAACCUUGAGACGUUGCUGCGUCAUAAUAUGGUAGCUGGAUUUGAUGUUGACCGACACAGCAUACAAUCAGCCAGCACGUGUGUGUGUGAGACUUGCGUCCUUGCUAAACAUACACGUGGUCCUUUUCCGUUAUCUGGGCAUAAGGCAGCGCAGCCUCUCGCGCUCAUUCACAUGGAUGUGUGUGGGCCUAUGCCUGAACCUUCGCCUAGUGGUUCGCGUUACGUGACAACCCUACUUGACGACCAUACUGGUCUUUCAGCUGUUGCGUUUACAGCGACCAAGGAGGAGGUCUACCAGAAGAUGGUGGUAAUGAUAGCGGAACUGGCAGGCGCGCUACUGGCAGGCAGGUUAAGGAGGUGCGUACAGAUCGUGGUGGGGAGUUCGUUAAUACUCGCACGAAGGCUUAUUUCGCUUCCAGGGGUAUUGUACACGGAACUACGGUAGGCUACACCCCUGAGCAGAACGGAGCUGCAGAACGUUUAAAUCGCACUCUUUUGGACAAGACUAGGGCUAUGCUAGUUGAGUCUGGACUGCCUAAAUCAUUAUGGGCGGAGGCGUUAGCGACAGCCAACUAUCUUAGGAAUGUGUCGCCAACUGCUGGGUCAACCGUCACUCCGUACGAAGCUUUCUUUAACGUUCGUCCGAACAUCAGUCACCUGCGAGUCUUUGGAUGCGUUGCCUACGUCCACGUACCCGACGUCAAGCGCGACAAGUUCGACCCGGUGAGCAGGCGUGGAAUACUUGUCGGAUACGGGAACGGUGGACAGUAUCGUGUACUAUACGAGGACGGCAUUAUUGCCGUAGUUUCUAACGUUCGUUUCGAUGAAUCUAAUGUCGGCCGGCGGUGUAAUGCCGGGGACUCCGAUUAUGAGUCCGAUGCCGACGAGGAGGAGGAGUUUCGCACUAGUUUAUCUGGUGAGGGAUCGCUGCCUAGGGCUGGCGAAGGGACACCAGGUAGCACCGUCGGCGAGGGAUCGCCGCAUUUGGGUGGCGAGGGGGCGCCGGCUGGGGCUGGACCUUCCAGCAGUGCGAACGGGCAAGGAAUCAAUCAGCCUGAUGUGGAAAUGGCGGGAACUAGGUACCCAGUUAGAGAGCGUAAACGCCCUUNNNNNNNNNNNNNNNNNNNNNNNNNNNNNNNNNNNNNNNNNNNNNNNNNNAUGAUUGACGCCAAGCCGAGGUCUACCCCUUUGCCUCCGGGCUUUAGGUACACUCCUAAGGGGGAAGGAGAGGAGCUGCUGGGCAAUCCCACCGAGUAUAGGGCUUUGGUGGGAGAAUUGAACUAUCUGGCGACGAACACGCGGCCUGACAUUUCAUAUGCAUUGAGCGUUUUGUCCCGGCAUAUGGCCGCACCCACGAAGAGUGCUAUGAACUUAGCAAUCGGCGUUCUGCGUUACCUGGCGGGUACUCGCGAACUAGGAUUGCGUUUUGGGGGUGUUGGCGUUGCUAUGUCCGGGUAUAGCGAUUCUGACUGGGCAGGAGACCCAGUUACUCAGCGUUCUACUUCCGGCUACGUUUUCACUCUUCAUGGGGCUGCGAUUAGCUGGAGCAGCCAACUUCAACGUACUGUGGCGGCUUCGUCGGUGGAGGCUGAGUAUCAAGCGACAGCGGCAGCUGUUCGUGAGGCUUUGUGGCUUCGCAAGCUGAUGGUUGAUUUGGGUUUGCCUGAGAGCGCUAUCAGAAUCCAAAUAGAUUCCCAGGGGGCGCUUAGCUUAGGAAAUAACCCGAUCACGUCUGCUCGGUCGAAGCACAUCGACAUGCAGCAUCACAUAGUGCGUGAGAGGGUGAAUAGUGGUGAGGUGCAGUUGGAAUACUGCCCUACGGAGUGGAUGGUUGCGGAUGUGCUCACUAAGGCUCUGGGCUAGAUAAAAUUCAAACGCUGCCGAGAUGCGAUGGACCUUGAGUGAAGCGUGCAGAUGAACUUGGUACUCGUUGGGAUACGGCCCGAGGGGGCGUGUUAAGACGGUCCUCUCCCAACUCGUGUGGUUGUCGACCAGGGGAUUUGACCCCGGGUCUGCACUUGACUAAUGGGGAAGACUUACUCCAGAACCUUAUGGGGCUACCGAUGCAUAGCCGGUAGCUAAGUGAUAGACAUUAGGGCACCGUCAGGACGGCGCAGUGAGAUCGCGGAAUGUACGUGCAGUUAGAUCGCGGAAUGUACGAGUUUUCCGCUAGCGCUGGUAUUUAGGGCGGUGACUGCGCUUAUUUGUUUAUCUCACUACGAUCGGUAUUCCUCAAAGGAAUCUGCUCAAGUCCUGCCGAACGCUAAUAAUACUCUUUACAUAACUUGUAACAUUUUAUCGUGCUAAAUAUCUUCGCCGCCGGCAAUUCUUCCGAGAUAACAAUCAGUGUUAGCCGUCACCGUCGCCAAUUCUUCAAUAAAUUUAAGAAGAAAGGAGAUUGUCCCGUAGAGCGAUUGACAGCGUUGUUCAUCGCGAAUUCUGCAGCCGAGAGAUAGGUGUCCGAAACACGAGUGUUGUUGCCAGCGUAGGUUCGCAGCAUAUCACCCAAAGUGCGAUUCAUUCGCUCAGUCUGACCGUCAGUUUGUGGAUGAUAGGCAGUAGAAAGGCUUACUCGAAAAUUAGCCAAAGUGCCAAGGGCUCCCCAAAACUUGGCACCAAACUGAGGUCCUCUAUCAGAAAUAAUCUGUUUGGGAACACCAUGCAGACGCACCACGUUAUCAAAGAACAGUCGAGCGGUUUGCUCCGCGGUAACUGUCGUGGUGGUCGGUACCAAAUGUACCAUCUUGGUCAAGCGGUCAACAAUGAUGAGGACAGCGUCGUAUCCCCCCUCGGACAGAGGAAGUGCGACGACAUAGUCAAGCGACACACUCUCCCAAGGCGAGUCUGGAAUCGGCAAGGGCUGAAGCAGGCCCGAUUGCUUACCAGAUUUUGGCUUCUGCCGUUGGCAAACAUCACACUGCUCAACAAAGGAAGCAGCAUCACGAGCCAUCCGUGGCCACCAGAAGUUGCAACGUAGCAACUCAAUAAGGCGAGUAGAACCCACAUGACCGGAAAGUGGAUCCUGAUGCACACGGGAAAGGAUAUCACGGCGAAGCAAAUUAUCAUUAUGGACAACUGUUUGACGUUGAUCACCAUCAGUGCGAACCCAGAGACCCUGGUCAACUGCUCGACGUUAUUGGGAUCGUUGAACCAAGGGUCGUUUUUGUAUCCGUCCACGAUUCGUUUGGCAAAAGCAGAAAUCGUCAAAUCGGCAGCCACAGACUGACGUCGAGUCACAACCAACAGGACGACAGAGUGCAAGGAAGGAUGGCGACUCAAAGCAUCAGCAACGUUAACGGAACCAGACACAUGCUCCCAAGUGAAGUUAAAACGCUGCAUAUAUUCUAACCACCGCACCUGGCGGCGGUUAAGGGUCGGAACACCCUGCAGAAAGGUUAGGGGCUUGUGGUCAGUUUUGACAACGAACGGGCGUCCCUCAAGAUAGCAGCGCCAUUCACGCAAGGUGUGAACAACGGCUAGUAGCUCUUGUUCACCCGUGGUGUAGCCGCGUUCGGCAGCAGAAACUUUCUUGCUGGAAAACGCGACAGGAUGACCGUUCUAAUGCAAAACUGCCCCCGUACCGUGCAGCGAGGCGUCAGAAAUAAGCUCAACACGGAAAGGCUGAGAGUAAUUGGGAAAACGCAGCACUAUAUCGUCCGCAACAGCACGUUUUAUAGCCUCAAAAGACGCCUGACAUUCAGCAGUCCAAACGUCAGCGGAAGAAAACGCACCCUGGCGCGUAAGACUCAUCAACGGUGCGGCGAGAGACGAGUAAUUGGCUAUAAACUUGUGAAAGUAAUUGGUAAGCCCUAGGAACUUUUGCAGCUCCAGCAAUGACAUCGGGACAGGCCAGUCAUGCACCGCAGCAGUCUUCUUAGGGUCCAUGCGAACCCCGUCAACGGAAACCACAUGGCCCAGAUACUCAACUUCGGACUUCGCCCAGUGGCACUUGGACUGCUUGGCAUAAAGCUGUUCCCGCCGCAAAACGUUGAGCACCAAACGAAGAUGUUGGAGGUGCUCUUCCUUCGUUUUGGAAUAGACGAGGAUAUCGUCCAGGUAGCACACGACAAACUUAUCGAUGUACGGCCUGAACAUACGGUUAAUUACGGCUUGAAAAGUAGCAGGAGCGUUAACAAGGCCGAAGCUCAGAACCGUGUACUCAAAGUGACCGAAAGGAGUGCGGAAAGCGGUUUUAGGAAUGUCAGACUCAGCAAUGCGAAUCUGGUUAUAUCCCUGCUGCAGCUCUAUAGAGCUAAAGUAAGCAGACCCGCGAAGCUUAUUGAGCAAAUCGUCUACACGCGGAAGAGGGUACCGAUUCUUAGUGGUCAUGGAAUUCAAUCCACGGUAAUCUAUGCACAUGCGUAGGGAACCGUCCUUCUUACCCGCAAACAAGAUCGGGGCAGAGAAGGGAGACGUACUCGGACGAAUCAUGCCUUUAGCAAGCAGCUCAGUAACCUGCCGUUUGACCUCAUUAAGCUCAAGAGGGCUAAGUCAGUACAUAGGGCGUGCGACGGGUUGGGCGUCAGGCACCAACGGAAUUGUGUGAUCCACUAGACGGACUGGAGGAAUACCCGGGAUUUCCCGGAAAACAUCAGCGUAUUCCUCAAGCAGUGCGGAAACUUCAGGGUCCUGAGUGGGAGGAAUCACAGAAGUGGCGUUAAGGCUAACCGAAGGGCGAACCAGCAAAGCAUGUGCCCCCUUGCGAAUAAGAUGCAUAGCAGCCUUACGACCAAUAGACUCAGGGGUGGCGUGCGCACACAUGGCCGCAGCCGCAAAAUUAACAAGGGGCGCCGAGGAGGCAGCACCACUGUCACCUGAAUCAUUAGGAGACGCGCGACAAGGAAUUGAGUACCGAACAGUACCCUUUGACAAACGCAAAAUAUUGUUCUGAAAAUCCAGGGAUGCCCUAAUGUCUAUCACUUAGCUACCGGAUUUGCAUCGGUAGCUCCAUAAGGUUCUGGGGUAAGUCUUCCCCAUUAGUCAGGCGCAGACCCGGGGUCAAAUCCCCUGGUCGACAACCACACGAGUUGGGAGAGGACCGUUUCCUCAACACGCCCCCUCGGGCCGUAUCCCAACGAGUACCAAGUUCAUCUGCACACUUCACACAAGGCCCAUAGCAUCUCGGCAACGUUUGAACUUCACCUCGCCCAGAGCUUUCGUUAGUACAUCCGCAACCAUCCACUCCGUAGGGCAGUAUUCCAACUGCACAUCACCGCUAUUCACCCUCUCACGCACUAUGUGAUGCUGCACGUCGAUGUGCUUCGACCGAGCAGACGUAAUCGGGUUGUUUCCCAAGCUAAGCGCCCCCUGGGAGUCUAUCUGGAUUUUCACCGCGCUCUCAGGCAAGCUCAAAUCAACCAUCAGCUUGCGAAGCCACAAAGCCUCACGAACAGCCGCCGCUGUAGCUUGGUACUCAGCCUCCACCGACGAAGCCGCCACAGUACGUUGAAGUUGGCUGCUCCAGCUAAUCGCAGCCCCAUUAAGAGUGAAUACGUAACCGGACGUAGAACGCCGCGUAACUGGGUCUCCUGCCCAGUCCGAAUCACUGUACCCGGACAUAGCAACGUCGCCAACACCCCCAAAACGCAAUCCUAGUUCGCGAGUCCCCACCAGGUAACGCAGAACGCCAGUUGCCAGGUUCAUGGCACACUUCGUGGGUGCGGCCAUAUGCCGGGACAAAACGCUCAAUGCAUAUGAAAUGUCAGGCCGCGUGUUCGUCGCCAGAUAGUUCAAUUCUCCCACCAAAGCCCUAUACUCGGUGGGAUUGCCCAGCAGCUCCUCUCCGUCCCCCUUAGGAGUGUACCUAAAGCCCGGAGGCAAAGGGGUAGACCUCGGCUUGGCGUCAAUCAUCCUAUGACGCUCCAACAGCUGCGCAAUAUACCUAUGCUGCGACAACACUAUCUCACCCGACUUCUCCCUCCUAAUUUCCAUGCCCAAAAACACCUUCGCUUCUCAAGGUCGCGCACCUUGAAGACCUUCGCAAUUGCAGCUUUAAUUGCCCGGACCAUUUCCGGGUCUUCCGACGCAACAAUAUUGUCAUCUACGUGCACCAAAGCAAUAACAACCCCACGCUCGUCAGUCUUAACAAACAUCGCCGGAUCAGACUUCGAAGGAUAAAGACCCAACUUGGCGAACUCUGCUGAUAGUUUUUCAUACCAGCAACGGGGUGCCUGCUUCAACCCGUAAAUAGACUUCUGCAGCUUGCACGCAAGCGACCGGUCACUGGAUGCAUACCCAGGCGGUUGCUCCAUCCACAACUCCUCCUUCAGCUCACCAUUCAGAAACGCAGUAGACACAUCGAGCUGAUGUACCGUCAUGUUCCGGGCUGCGGCAACUGCUAAUAAAGCACGCAAUGACGAACCACGAGAGGUAGGGGCAAACAACUCCCCAUAAUCAAUCCCCUCACGUUGCUCGAAACCCUUGGCAACUAAACGCGCCUUAAAACGCUCCACGCUGCCGUCAUCGCUGUACUUAACCUUAUAUACCCAACGACACGGCAACAAACGAGUACCAGGAGGUGGCGUCUUCAGCUCCCAAGUACUGUUAGCCAUCUGGGCGGCGAUCUCCUCGUCCAUCGCACGCCGCCAGUCGUCUGCAUGUGGACUUGCAAUUGCUUCCUCAAACGAAUUAGGCUCAGGA
rnacentral:lncRNA from 1 species